UUCCAGACUCCUACGGGAGGCAGCAGUGGGGGAUAUUGCACAAUGGAGGAAACUCUGAUGCAGCGACGCCGCGUGUGGGAAGACGGUCCUCUGGAUUGUAAACCACUGUCCCCAGGGACGAAGAUGACGGUACCUGGGGAGGAAGCUCCGGCUAACUACGUGCCAGCAGCCGCGGUAAUACGUAGGGAGCAAGCGUUGUCCGGAAUUACUGGGUGUAAAGGGAGCGUAGGCGGGAUGGCAAGUUGGGUGUUAAAUCUACCGGCUCAACUGGUAGUCGCACUCAAAACUGCUAUUCUUGAGUGAAGUAGAGGCAGGCGGAAUUCCUAGUGUAGCGGUGAAAUGCGUAGAUAUUAGGAGGAACACCAGUGGCGAAGGCGGCCUGCUGGACGACAACUGACGGUGAGGCGCGAAAGCGUGGGGAGCAAACAGGAUUAGAUACCCGUGUAC
rnacentral:rRNA from 1 species